rnacentral:rRNA from 1 species
UACGUAGGGCGCAAGCGUUAUCCGGAAUUAUUGGGCGUAAAGGGCUCGUAGGCGGUUUGUCGCGUCUGCCGUGAAAGUCCGGGGCUCAACUCCGGAUCUGCGGUGGGUACGGGCAGACUAGAGUGAUGUAGGGGAGACUGGAAUUCCUGGUGUAGCGGUGAAAUGCGCAGAUAUCAGGAGGAACACCGAUGGCGAAGGCAGGUCUCUGGGCAUUAACUGACGCUGAGAUACGAAAGCGUGGGGAGCAAACAGG